rnacentral:misc_RNA from 1 species
GAUGAAGAACGUAGCGAAAUGCGAUACGUAAUGUGAAUUGCAGAAUUCAGUGAAUCAUCGAAUCUUUGAACGCACAUUGCGCUCUCUGGUAUUCCGGAGAGCAUGCUUGUUUGAGUAUCAGUAAACACCUCAACUCCUUUAUUGUAGUUGGACUUGAGCUAUCCCAACAGGACUUUUUGUUCCUGGCGGGAGGCUUGAAAUGCAGGUGCAGCUGGACUUUCUUCUGAGCUAUAAGCAUAUUUAUUUAAUCCCUUAACACGGAUUAUUACUUUUUUGCUGCAGCUAACAUAAAGGUUGAAUUUCCAUUGAGCUGACUGAUGCAGGAAUUUGGCAAGGAAUUUUUUUAAUGACUUGUUAAACUCGAUCUCAAAUCAAGUAAGACUACCCGCUGAACUUAAGCAUAUCAAUAAGCGGAGGA